CACUUUUUAGCUCGACUUUUCUAUGAAAAGGGGAGCUAUCCUACUCGCCCCGGCGUCGGCGUCGGCGUCGGCGUUGGCGUCGGCGUCACACCUUGGUUAAGUUUUUCGUACCACCCCACUUUAUUUCAGAAGUAUUACAAGUAUGGCUUUGAAACUUACCAUACUUGUUCACCAUCAUAACCUCCAUCUACAGACAAGAGUACAUAACUCUGUCAAGGUUUUUGACAGAAUUAUGGCCCUUUUUUGACUUAGAAAGUGUAUUGAGCUUGGUUAAGUUUUUUGUACCACCUCACUUUAUUUCAAAACCAUUGGAGGUAUUGCUUUGAAACUGACCAUACUUGUUUACCAUCACGACCUUCAUCAACAGACAAGAGGACAUAACUCUGUCAAGGUUUUUGACAGAAUUAUGCCCCUUUUUGACUUAGAAAAAAUACAUUGAAUAUGGGUAAAAUCCACUUAUUGCCUUAACCCUUUGAGAUAUUGCUUUGAAACUUUUAAUGCUAUUUCACAUCAUUACCCCAUCUGUACGCAAGAGAAGGUAACUCUGUCAAGGAUUUGUUUUAAAAAUUAAGGCCUUUUAUCGACUUAGAAUCUUGGUUAAGUUUUUAGUACCAGUCCACUUUUUGACUGAACUGUUUGAGAUAUUAAUUUGAAAGUUGGAAUACUUGUUUACAAUCAUGAUUCCCAAACAUGUCCAGGAGAAGGUAAUUCUGUCAAAGAUUUUAUUUGAAUUAUGGCCCUUAACUGUCAAUGUUUUGUAUUAUAGGCAAGCACUAAAAAACUUAAAAAAUCUAAAAAAAUUCAUUCCUAUCCACUUGUUCACUUUACCAUAAAUUAUGUCAUAUAAACAUUGCUGUAAUAUUCAAGGGUAUCAAACAACUACUUCACUUUAAAAAUACAGAGAUUCUUGUAUUGCCUUUUACUGCAAAAACUUUUUUUAUUGGCAAGCAAUAAAAAAGUCGAGCGCGCUGUCUUACGGACAGCUCUUGUUCUAUAUGAUAUCAUGUUUAAAUCUUUCAUAUAUGUUUGUUAAACAACCAAAUGCUAGUCAUUUACCCUUAUAUCACCAUGCUUGUUUGUCAUCUCUUUCAUAUGCAUGACUUAAUAAAUGUUUAAAUCUACACCCAGAAUUACUAAUAGGUUGUUAGACAUUUCUUAAUAUUGUAAUGCUAAGAAAUAAUAAUUGCAGCUUCAAAUAACUUUGCACAAUUCCAUUCAGGUUGCUUGACAAUGGUAAAAACUUUGGUGAAAAUUUCAAUUAAGAUAGCUUAACAGUGGAACCAAAUAUUGUGAAAAUUCCAUUCAGAUAGGUUAUCAAUGGAAAAAAGAUAUUUUGAAAAUUUUAUUCAGAUAGCUUAACAAUGAAUUAAACUUUUGUGAAAAUUUCAAUAAGAUAGCUUAACAGUGGAAAAAAAAAUAUUGCUAAAAAUGUAAAAAUGAAACUAAACAUUUAUAAAAAAAAAUUGUGUACAUCACUAUACAGUCAAACAAAAUAUACCAAAAAGAAUAUUUGCAUAUUCAAGUUCUGUAUGAUUUAGACUUAAAAUGUUGAUGAAUAUUGGCCUUAAUGUUUUUACAUUGUUUUUUUUCAACAUUUUUGUUUGAUAUGUGUAUGUUAUCUUGCUGCAUAUUGAAUUUAUAGGGGCAAUUUUUAGACAUCUUAAACAUGGCAAUAUCAUUUUUUUCUCUUCACCAUAUCAUUUCUUUCUACACAUACAACUUAAAGCAUGACAAUAAUUAUGAUCUUUCCCUACACAGUAGUACACAGGUAACUUAAAGCCAAAGCAAUAUGGUUUUUCCCUACACAGGUAAUUUAAAACCAUGGCCAUUUGAUCUUCUGUACACAGGUAACCUAAAGCCAUGGCAAUAUGAUCUUUCUCUACACAGGUAACUUAAAACCAUGGUCAUAUCAUCUUUUUAUACACAGGUAACUUAAAACCAUGGCCUAUCAUCUUUCUCUACAAAGGUAACUUAAAACCAUGGUCAUAUCAUCUUUCUAUACACAGGUAACUUAAAACCAUGGUCAUAUCAUCUUUCUAUACACAGGUAACUUAAAACCAUGGCCUAUCAUCUUUCUCCACACAGGUAAAUUAAAAUCAUGUCCAUAUCAUCUUUCUAUACACAGGUAACUUAAAACCAUGGUCAUAUCAUCUUUCUAUACACAGGUAACUUAAAACCAUGGCCUAUCAUCUUUCUCUACAAAGGUAACUUAAAAUCAUGGCUAUAGCACCUUUCCCUAUACAGAAAACUUGACCCAUGGCCAUAUUUUUCUCUGCAAAGACAAACCAUCUUUCUCUACACAGGUAAAUUAAAAUCUUGUCCACAUCAUCUUUCUCUACACAGUUUACUUAAAAUCAUGGCCAGAUCACCUUGUUCUACACAGAAAACUGGACCCAUGGCCAGAGCUUUCGUACACAGGUACAUCAUACAUGUAGAUGUGAACUUUGUUAUGCCAUAUUAAAUAUGUCAUUUCCUUUGUUACUAAAUUAUCAACUGAAAAAGUUUAAUAAUGCCAUUUGUAUUUGACAUUUGUUACCUAUGUGAUAGAUGAAAAAGAGUGAUAAAGCAACAUCUUAAAUUGUGUUUGUUUGUGAAUUUACUCAUAAUUUUCGUUAAACUGAAACAUAACACUGGCCCCGAAAUGAUGUUUACCAGCAUAGUCAUGGUUUCUUAAUUCAGGAUAUUUCUCCAUAGCUUUGUUAUUUAGGAAUUAAUUUGGAACAAUAGUGUUGUUUUUUUUUGUCUGUUAAACAACACACUUCUUUCAUGUUACAAUUUUUUUGCUGGCAAUACCUUUUUAACAUUUUUGUAAUUUUUAUAUUGAUGAAAUAUGUUUGUCUUCUGUAAUUAAAUGCAAUAAUAAUGUUGAAAGUAAAUUGAAAAACUCAAAGUUGAUAGAUUUUUUUUUAAUUUGAUUUUUUUGAGAGAGAGAGAGAAUUGUUUCUGCAUAAAUACCAUUAUAAAAGUCUAUGUCUGUUGAACAGAAGAGGCAGACUUCAAUCCAGUACAAAUUGAAUUAAAUACAAAAAUUGUGAUUAUUUUAUGUUUUUGAUAAAGUUAUUCUAGUUUGAAAGUUUCAUUAAUUCAAUGUUAUUGAAAUUUUGAAAGAAAAUCCUGAAUAGAUGUUAUCCAGAACUCAGCAAACCUGGGUUUUUCCCAGCUAAUCCAUAGGUACAAACAAACUUACCGUUAUAGCUUAACUGUGCACUAUCAGUCAUAAUAAAUUUGUCAACCUGUUGCGCUGGUUUUCGAAGCUGUAACUAAAAAGUUUGUUUGUACCUACAAGUUAGCUGGGAAAACCCCAAAUUUUCUUUAUUCCAGAGUUAGUGUAUUGACCCUGAAAGUAUUUUUUCCUCUUACUCUGCUGUCAUGAACAUAUUCUACCCAUAGAAAGAGCAUCAAAACAUGAGGCUAUCUGAUUUGUACGAGGGGGCGUAGUCCCCGAGUAUAAAUCAGAUAGCCGAGUGUUUUGAUGUUCUUUCUCUUUUGUAUCAUAGUCAAGCAUAAAAACACGUUCCCUGUUGUCACAAUAUGAAACCCCAGAAAAAAGUAACCAAUGAACGAGCAUCUGAAUAUGAUAUUUCUGUCGCUUUCCCUUUCUCUGUCGUCACAAUAUGUAAACCCCAGAGAAAAUGAACCAAUCAAUGGCCAUGCUCUGGAGUGCAGGUAACUGAUACCUGCACUCCAGUUAACACACUGUGCAUGUAUAUGUAUAUGAUUUAACUCUGACAUUUUUUCAACAGAAAGGUCACCAAACUAUGAUAUAAUACUAUAUUGUAUCAUAUUUUACGAAAUUGAUAAUCAAAAUAGGUAAUAUUUACCUCCCUUGUACAGAAAUGUUGUAAUUACCUCCCUUUUUACUGGCUUUCUUCUACUGAUAGCAUAAAUUAUUGUUGCUUACCCACGAAAUUUAAUUUUCAAAAUAAAUGCUAAAAAUAGAUUGAAAAUCAGAAACAUAAAAACCGUAGGAUGGCAUUUUAGUUAUUGUUAUUUUUGUGUAUUUUUUUUACCAAAUCCUUUGUUAAUUUAAAUACUUGCAUUCAUUGCUCAAAUUCAUUUCAUAAAUAUGUGAACCUUAAAGUUACGUGCUCACAAGUAAGAGUAAAAUUUUUUGAAGAUUUUCAGGGUUAAGUCCUUCUUUAAAGUUAACCAGUUAUUGCACUCAAGUGAUGUGAUGUGCUGACUGUUUUUGAUCUGCAAUGGUUGCAUGGGUAAAUUCAGUUUUUGCUAGCAUGGUAAUGGUUUUAAAACUCAACUUCCUUAGCUUGAACAUGCUUGGUCUAAUUGCCAAUAAGCAUUAUUUUCGUAUCACAUGUAAUUUUGAGAUGGAAAAUAUAACCAUCUAUAAAAUGUGAGCAAGUAACUUUAAAGUGUUUAUAAGUUACCUUGUAACUAUAAAGUAUGCUGACCUUGCCUUAAUGUAUAGUGUGUAUUUAGAUUUUUGUUUAUACAGUGUAACCUCUGUAAUGCAGCCCAUUGUAGACCAACAUAACCUCCAUAGAGCAAGCCCUCUGUAGAACAAUAACCUGUUUAUAAAAUAAGUAUCAACUCAAAGAAAGAAUUCACAGUUAAUUUAACCUCUCUAAUGCAAAUAUCUCUCAAUAACAACCGAAAUCUUUUGUCUCUCAAAUGGUAUUGCUCUGGGAGUUUGUUUUGUCGAAUGCAAUACCUCUCAAUAACAACCGAAAUCUUUUGUCUCUCAAAUGGUAUUGCUCUGGGAGUUUGUUUUGUCGAAUGCAAUACCUCUCAAUAACAACCGAAAUCUUUUGUCUCUCAAAUGGUAUUGCUCUGGGAGUUUGUUUUGUCGAAUGCAAUACCUCUCAAUAACAACCGAAAUCUUUUGUCUCUCAAAUGGUAUUGCUCUGGGAGUUUGUUUUGUCGAAUGCAAUACCUCUCAAUAACAACCGAAAUCUUUUGUCUCUCAAAUGGUAUUGCUCUGGGAGUUUGUUUUGUCGAAUGCAAUACCUCUCAAUUACAACCAAAAUCUUUCGUCUCUCAAAGGGUAUUGCUCUGGGAGUUUGUUUUAUCGAAUGCAAUACCUCUCAAUUACAACCGAAAUCUUGGUCUCUCAAAGGGUAUUGCUUUGCAGAAGUUUUACUGUAACUGCCCUGGUGUGAAUGAUAAGCUUGUUAUUCAGAAUGGUGCAAAACUUGUUUUAAUAUUCCCUUAAAGAGAAUGUUGUUUUAUUUGUUCACCUCUGUUAACAGCAAAGGCUCUGUUAACAGCAAAGUGUUAGUUAUUUAGAUUGGAAUUUAUAUCUUGUUUUAUUAUAUAAACCAAUAUUUUAAAUGUUAAUGUAUAUAUUUUUUUAUCUUAUGAUAUAUGUACUUAAGCAACAGGGUCAUAUAGUGGGCAUCUGGGCAAAAUGUGUGAAACCCUUUUAAGGGGUAGGAAAUGAUGGAGAUAUGACCUUUUUGCACCAAUCUCCUCUUUUUGCACCAAUUCCCAGAAACAACUGUUUGAGAUGCGUCUGUUUUGCACUAAGCCCAUGAAAUUAUGUUGUCUGCAUCUUUGUUAAUACUGAUUUCAUCAUGUUUUGUUGCUAUAUGAAAGGCUUGGAGCAAUAAGGGUUUAACUCUUUAUUAUCUUGAAUAUUGAAGUUAGGUUAUUAUUGCACCAAGACAUUCAGUAUAACAGUUAUAAAUGUUUGUUUGUUUUAUAUUUUUUAACAGAAGUAUUUUAGUUUUCCCCAGUAUUUUUUUCAUUGUUAAUGUUUGAAAAUGAUAUAUAUAUACUGUUUAUAUAUAUUGACCUUUUUUGUAUAUGCAAAUAUUUAACAGUGCUCUCUUGAAUUUUGAAAUACAUUAUUUUAAAUGUAUACAUGUUUUAUAAAUAUAAUUUGAAAAAAAAGGAGAUAAAAUUGAAAGAAAUAUGUUUGCAAUACAAAUAUAAAAUGUCCAUGUUUUGGCAAUUGUUAAAGCAAUUUUCACCAUGUACCUUUAUUUAGUUAUAGUUUGAUUUUAAACAUAAAGUUUGAAUAAUGAAUUAAUCCCACCCUGCCUAAAUAUCUUAAAUGGACUUGUCUUUCUUUUAAUAUGGACAAGACCAUUUAUGAUAUUUUGGGAAAAUUUCAUAAUACAUACUGACCAAUUAACAUUGCUGUGAACAGUUCAGAUCAUGAUCUUACAGCAUAUAUGAUAACGUGCUGCCUUACCUUGGUCUACAUUGGACCCAUGGGCAAAUUCAGUUACCCCAACCAGACUAAGGGCUUAACAAACAUGAAUUCAGAUAAAAAUACAGAAUUUCUCUACAAGAUGAUCUUUUUUAUGCUUCAGGAGUUUUCUUUCUUUAUUUAGCAUAUAUUCACCAAUAUGUCGUUCCUUUUGUCCUAACUUCCAACAUUCAGUGUAUCAAAAUAAUUUUUUAUUGACCUUUACCCAUUGGUAAAAUGUGUGGAGAUCACUGGAGCAAAUGAUAUAUUUUACAGCCUUAUUGAUUUGUAGCUUAGAUAAUUGGUGUGUCUGCACUUUCAAUCGACCUGUACCUUUGGAUGGAGUUUUCAGGUUAAAUAGGUCAAGGUCACUGAAGCAAACAGCAAAUUUUAAUUUUUAAAAUUUUGGCUGAACUUCUGUUAUACUACUUGCGCAAUUUAAGCUUGGAGUGAAACUUUACAGGAUUGAUUGGUACCUCAAGUACUUGCACAUAUAUAAAAGGUUUUCCUGUUUAAUGAUUUUUGGCUGAGUUAUGGCCCUUAAAAAAAAAAAAAAAAUUUUUUGGCAUGUUAAGGAUUUUUGUGUCUCCUGCUACCAAUUCUGCAAUGUGCUACAAAGUAAUCGGAACAUAAAGGGAACAAACCGGUCAGUCACCAUCAUUACAACUGCUUAUCAUCAGGGGACACAUGUGGUCACUGACCACUCUUGUUAUAAUAUUCCUUGGUGCUUUUCUUGUACAUGUAUGUAAAUGCCCCGCAUAUUUCAUUUCAAAAUCUGGGAUAUAGAAAAACAGGAUAUGGCAGGAAAAUAAAACCAAAGAAUUUUAUUUUAAGUUUUUGCUAAUAUAUUGCCAAACAUAGAUACUGUCAUGCUGACCAUAGAAUGUUAAAUCACUAUCCAUAGAAAUGCAUUUUAAAAACCAUCAUUUUGAAUUAUAUUCAUAUUACACAUACAAAUAUAUUCCUAAGAAUUUUAUUUUUGCAUGGUUUUAUUUAGAUAUUUUAAAAGUAUAUAGAUUCAUAUAUAUAUUUUUUUUCUUCUAGCUAAAAAUAACUUUACUGUUUUGUGUACUAUUGUUAUUUUUUGCAUACUUGUUUCUAUAUUUAGGUCUUUCUGAAAAUAUUAUUCUACAUUUGAAUUGAAUUUAAUAGUUAUAUUACACUCAUUUGCUAUAUUAUAAUAUUUCUAUUUUUCAAUGGUUAUUUACCUAAAAUAUAUGAUUUUUUGUUGACGUUUAUUAAAGAGUAAUGUCCAUUUUGAAUUUGUAAGUUUAAACAAUUAUUUCUAUUUUUGAAGCCAGAUGACAUAUCUAGCAUUCUUUAUUCACCAUUUAGAACAGUCUUCAGUAUUUAAAAAAUGCCUAACUGUAUCGUUUGCCUAACUUUAACUUUGUCACGAAGUUCCUGUUUGAUAAAUCAUACCUUGAUUUUAGUGUAAAAUACUUUUCUUUCCUAAAAAUAUAUGUCAUGGCAAUUUAAAUUCCAUUUUUUUUGAGUUAAUUUCAUUUUAUUGACCUAGUACAUUUGUAAGACUAUGUCUGGAAGUGCCAAAUGCCUAACUUUGACUCCCAGUUGCCUAACUUUGACUCCCGGUUGCUUAACUUAAUUUUGAAAAAAAAACAUCAUAUAUGUGACGUCAAAGGUAGAAAUACAUUGUUUAUGACUAGUACAUUAUUGGAAAUAAGCGGCUUUUCAUGUUCUAUAUUUUUGUACACACAUGUUUAUGUUACCAUACUUGUUUGGUGAAAGAUUUUUGCAUACACAUGUAUAUUUUUUUCCAUAAAAAAAUGAGAAAGUUAUGAAGAUGUAGAGGAAUACUCAAAAAAAAAUAGACAGUUUAAAAAUGUUAAA